rnacentral:tRNA from 1 species
GGGGAUUUAGCUCAGCGGCAUAAGCGCCUGCCUUGCAAGCAGGCAGUCCUGAGUUCGAUCCCCAGUACCA